rnacentral:rRNA from 1 species
GCACGUAGUUAGCCGAUCCUUCCUUUGAGGGUACCGUCUCAGUACAUCAAAUGUACCAUUCGUCCCCUCCGACAGCGGUUUACGAGGCUAAGCCCCUUCAUCCCGCACGCGGCGUCGCUGCAUCAGGAUUGCUCCCAUUGUGCAAUAUUCCUCA